CUUGAAUAUCUAUAAGAGGUCCAGCCUGCCCAGUGACUUUGUUCAACGGCCGCGGUAUCCUAACCGUGCGAAGGUAGCGUAAUCACUUGUCUUUUAAAUGGGGACUUGUAUGAAUGGCAUCACGAGGGUUAUACUGUCUCCUUUUUCUAAUCAGUGAAACUAAUCUUCCCGUGAAGAAGCGGGAAUAAACAUAUAAGACGAGAAGACCCUAUGGAGCUUUAAACUCAAUAACAAAUACUAACCUUACAUCAACUUUCAGAAGAUCAACCUUAAUUUUAGUACUAUGAUUAUUAGUUUUAGGUUGGGGUGACCGCGGAGUAAAAAUUAACCUCCACAUUGAACGGGACCUGUCCCUGAGCCAAGAACUACAGCUCGAAGCACCAACAAAUUGACAUUAAUUGACCCAAUAUUUUGAUCAACGAAC
rnacentral:rRNA from 1 species